CGGCCGCAUCACGUUGAAAUACUAGUUCACGUAAGAUCACAGAAGUUAAACAACGUCGAGACUGGUCAGUACCUAGAUGGGUAACCGCUUGGAAAUACCGGGUGCUGUAC